rnacentral:rRNA from 1 species
UCAAGAAUAUUCCCCAAUGGCCGCAAGGCUGAGGGAGCGACGCCGCGUGCAUGAAGAAGCCCUUCGGGGUGUAAAAUGCUUUUAACUGGGACGAAUUCAUGACGGUACCAGUUGAAUCAGGGGCUGCUAAACUCGUGCCAGCAGCAGCGGUAAUACGAGUGCCCCUAGCGUUAUCCGGAUUUAUUGGGCGUAAAGCGUACGUAGGUGGUUUAUCGCAUCUCCUGUUAAAUUCCGAGGCUUAACCUCGGAGCUGCGGGAGAGAUGGCUAAACUAGAGACCGGAAGAGGCAAGCGGAAUUGCUGGUGUAGGGGUUAAAUCCGUUAAUAUCAGCAGGAACACCAAAUGCUAAAGCAACUUGCUAGAACGGUUCUGACGCUAAGGUACGAAAGCGUGGGGAGCG